rnacentral:rRNA from 1 species
AGGUGUAUUUGUUCGUGGUUUAACUUACCGUUAACGAACGAGAACCUUAACCUGACUAAAUAAGUUAAACCUGAUUUUUAUCAGGUUGACAACUUCUUAGAGGGACUAUCGGUGUUUAACCGAUGGAAGUUUGAGGCAAUAACAGGUCUGUGAUGCCCUUAGAUGUUCUGGGCCGCACGCGCGCUACACUGAUAAAGUCAACAAGUAAUUAACCUUUGCCGGAAGGCAUGGGUAAUCUUUUGAAACUUUAUCGUGCUGGGGAUAGGGCAUUGCAAUG